rnacentral:lncRNA from 9 species
UGGUGUCCCUUGGAGUCUGUUUUCAUCUCAUGUCUUGCCAGCCCUUUGGGCCUCUUAUUUGGAAAUUUCUGUUCUUCAGUGCUGCGCAUUCGUCUUGUCUUAUUACCCUGAUUUCUUUCCAUUCACUUUCCUUCUCUUUCUAGAAUUCAUGUGUUGCGCCUUCUAGAUGGACAAUCUGAUUUUCUUAGGUUUUUCCAUUUCUUUGUGUAAGACAUUCUCAACCGUAUCCUCUAGCCCUUCUAUUGAGUUUUUUACUUCUUUUCUAAGCUUUCUGUUCCCGUUUCAUAAUCUUCUGUUUUUGUUUCGUGGAUGUAGUAACUCCUCUUAUCUGAGGUCGUGAAUGAGUUCUGAAGUUUUCUAAACCCACCCCCCCACCCCACCCCCGCCGGAAGUCACUGCUUGCUUCAGGUUGCUUUUUGUUUUUUGGGGUUUUGGUUUUCCUAACAGAGCCUUUUCUGGGCUUACCUGGUGACAUUUUCUUGUCUCUUUAUGCGUUAGAGGGACUCAGCUUGUGAUUGGGGGCUUGCCAACUGUGUCAUUUGCUGCGGAGGCCUCUGGCUGGGCCCUCUCCUUACAGCACCCCGACAGCUUCUUCAGGCCUCUAUUUAUUUAUCUUUUGGUCACACCCAUGGCAUGCAGAAGUUCCUGGGCCAGGGAUCGAACCCCCGCCACAGCAGCAGCCUGAGACACUGCAGUGACAAUGCCAGAUCCUUAACCCACUCUGCCAUGUGGGAACAUCUCUUCAAAUCUCUUUAGAUUCUCCAGAAAAAUAUCUCCCACCCUCUUGCCUGGCUGCCUGUGUCCGGGGCCAAGUGAAGGGAGAAGGCUACAGUCUUUUUUUCUUUUUAGGGCCAUACCUGAGGCAUUUGGAGGUUCCCAGCCUAGGGGUUGAAUCGAAGAUGCAGCUGCCGGCCUACACCACAGCCACAGCAACUCGGGAUCCUUAACCCACUGAGCAAGGCCAGGGAUUGAACCUGCAUCCUCAUGGAUGCCGGUCAGAUUCGUUUACCCCUAGCCUGGGAACCUCCAUAUGCCACGGGUGCGGCCCUAGAAAAGGCAAAAAGACAAAAAAGAGAGAGAGAGAAGUGAUAUCCGCACGUGGGACAGCCUGGCGUGGGUGCUGUUCGGGUGGAAGGUCGGCAGGCAGGAGCCUGUUGGGGGUCCUCUCAGCAAGGAGAGCCAGGUGGACGCCUGGGUCCUGGCUUCACUGUAGGUGCGUUGACCUGCAGCGCUUCCACCCAUCGCUAGACUGGCCAGGAGUGGACUGACCCGACAGCUGGGACCCCGCCACGCACUCGCCUUUCACGCCCCAUCAAAACCACGUGUGGAUGUGCUACUCUGAUCAUUUGAUUUAAUGGACGGGAUUUCUCUCUUUGGACCAUUAAAAGCUGCAGAUUAGUAUUUGUUGGAGACAGAUUCUUAAGUAAAAGAGCCUCGCUCAGUUUGUCGUCUCCAGUGCGUUGGCCUGCUUGGUGGGACUGGGCCUCAGCGAGGCUCUAGCCUCUGGCUCUGGUACGUCCCCCCUGGGACUGAGCCCCUUGCGUGUAGAGGGUUUUGUGUUUUAAAUCCUGAAACAUCACUGGUCUGUGUCCCCAGCUGAGACGCUGAGACCCUUCAAAUCCAGGGUCGGGUUUAAAACCGUGACUCUGUGAUUGCCAUACACAGGCUUCCUGGCUCCGGAACCAUGUGUGUCUUAGGGGCAAGAAUUUGGGGUGUUUUUCCCCGGUCAGGUGAGUCGAUCUUGCUAGUGCUGGCUCUCCUGAUCUUGACCUUGCCUCACCCGGCCGCGGUGUCCGCCUUAUCGAGCACAGGCGGCGUUUUGCAUCAAAGGGCAGGUACCCUCCCUGGCAGCUUCACUAGGCAAAGUGACCCACACCCUCUUUCUUGACAGGGAGUUCUUGAUCCUCCCGGGAUGACCUUUGAAGGUUCUUUCCAACCCUGCUAUUUUAUGGCCUGGUUUCUAAAUCCCCAGUGGAUUAGAGGGACGGAAGGACUUUUAUAGGAUAACAGCCAGAAGAACAAAGUGACUGCAAAAUACACGGAGAACUCGGUCACCCUAGAGAGCUCUGAAGCCCCCAGGCCCACGUUCUUUCUCACACCACACACGGUACUGCAGGCCCCUUUUCCUCCUGGCUCAGCGGAGAUUAGCAAGAGGAGCGAGGGGGAGAUUACUCCCCACGCGAGAGUUUUACUUCACAUGGUUACUUGGGAAAGUCUCGGCACUUGAGGGCUCAUUCCCUCGGGCCCCUGGAGAAGUGAGACGCUCUCAGUGGUCUAGGGUUUACUGCAGUGCGUUUUGCUGAAACGAAUGGCCUGAUGGAAGGGCUUCUUGCGCCGUCUUUCCCUUGAGGAAUUUGCCGAAGUCCUGGUAUUCGUAACUGAAGCGUGAGCAGUAGUAGUUUCACCUUAUCUGGGUGCGAGGCGAAAGGAUCUGGGUUGUGGGACGCAGAUGAGUGAUUUUUCUCUGGUUUUCUCCUUGUUCCCUCUCGCUUCCUGUCCCACCCCAGCAAAAGCUGGCAGGCUGACAGAGGCGGCCUCAGGACGGACCUUCUGGCUAUUGACCAUUUUGUCAGGCCGGGAGGGCUUCAGUGGGGCCCUGGGGUGGGACUGCGUCUCCGGGGCCCUGGGCAUCCCGGUACUCUCCGCUGGAGCCUUUGUCUCCUUGGCGACGGCAGCUUUUCAGGGGCAGCUGUCCAGGGAUUUCUCCUCUUCACCACUCGGUGAGAGUUUGGGAAGCCCCUUGGGUCUGAAGGUGCAAGGGAGGGAAUGAGGUGGCACCUGCUGGUGGAGCAGGGUGGACGCUUGGCUGAAGCUCUCACCCGCGCCCGCCCUGGCAGCGCCGGCCGCCUGUGUGCCAUCUCCCUCUCCGCCUCCUCCCUCCGCUGCAGUGGCUCACCCGGACCGUGUGGAGGCGCGAGAUCAACCAUGAGCUCCGUUGCAGUUUUGACCCAAGAGAGCUUUGCUGAGCACCGCAGUGGACUCAUUCCGCAGCAGAUAAGAGUUGCCACUUUAAAUUCAGAAGAGGAGAGCGACCCUCCAACCUACAAGGAUGCCUUCCCCCCGCUCCCCGAGAAAGCAGCUUGCUUGGAAAACCCCCAGGAACCUGCCGGCGCCUGGAGCAACAAAAUCCGGCCCAUCAAGGCGUCCGUCAUCACUCAGGUGUUCCACGUACCCCUGGAGGAGAGGAAGUACAAGGACAUGAACCAGUUUGGAGAAGGUGAACAAGCCAAAAUCUGCCUCGAGAUCAUGCAGAGGACCGGCGCUCACCUGGAGCUGUCCCUCGCCAAAGACCAGGGCCUCUCCAUCAUGGUUUCUGGGAAGCUGGACGCCGUCAUGAAGGCCCGGAAGGACAUUGUCGCUCGGCUGCAGACUCAGGCCUCCGCCACCGUUGCCAUCCCCAAAGAGCACCAUCGCUUUGUCAUCGGCAAAAACGGAGAGAAACUGCAGGACUUGGAGCUCAAAACCGCAACCAAAAUCCAGAUCCCACGCCCCGACGACGCCAGCAAUCAGAUCAGGAUCACCGGCACCAAAGAGGGCAUCGAGAAGGCUCGCCACGAGGUCCUGCUCAUCUCCGCGGAGCAGGACAAACGUGCGGUGGAGCGGCUCGAGGUGGAGAAGGCCUUCCACCCCUUCAUCGCGGGGCCCUACAACCGGCUGGUCAGCGAGAUCAUGCAGGAGACGGGCACGCGCAUCAACAUCCCGCCGCCCAGCGUCAACCGCACCGAGAUCGUCUUCACGGGCGAGAAGGAGCAGCUGGCGCAGGCCGUGGCUCGCAUCCGCAAGAUCUACGAGGAGAAGAAAAAGAAGACCACCACCAUCGCGGUCGAGGUGAAGAAGUCCCAGCACAAGUACGUCAUUGGCCCCAAGGGCAACUCCUUGCAAGAGAUUCUGGAAAGAACCGGCGUUUCUGUGGAGAUCCCGCCUUCAGACAGCGCCUCUGAGACUGUGAUCCUUCGAGGCGAGCCCGAGAAGCUGGGGCAGGCGUUGACGGAGGUCUAUGCCAAGGCCAACAGCUUCACGGUCUCCUCCGUCUCGGCUCCUUCCUGGCUGCACCGUUUCAUCAUUGGCAAGAAGGGUCAGAACCUGGCCAAAAUCACCCAGCAGAUGCCCAAGGUUCACGUUGAGUUCACGGAAGGCGAGGACAGGAUCACCCUGGAAGGCCCCACGGAGGACGUCAGCGCGGCCCAGGAGCAGAUCGAAGCCAUGGUCAAGGACUUGGUGAGCCGGAUGGACUACGUGGAGAUCAGCAUCGACCACAAGUUCCACAGACACCUCAUCGGGAAGAGCGGGGCCAACAUAAACAGGAUCAAGGACCAGUACAAGGUGUCGGUGCGCAUACCCCCCGACAGCGAGAGGAGCAGCCUGAUCCGCAUCGAGGGCGACCCGCAGGGCGUGCAGCAGGCCAAGCGCGAGCUGCUGGAGCUCGCCUCCCGCAUGGAGAACGAGCGCACCAAGGAUCUGAUCAUCGAGCAGAGGUUCCAUCGCACCAUCAUCGGGCAGAAGGGGGAGCGGAUCCGAGAGAUUCGGGACAAAUUCCCGGAGGUUAUCAUCAACUUUCCAGACCCAGCCCAGAAAAGCGAUAUUGUUCAACUCAGGGGGCCCAAGAACGAGGUGGAAAAAUGCACGAAAUACAUGCAGAAGAUGGUGGCAGAUCUGGUGGAAAACAGCUAUUCGAUUUCUGUUCCGAUCUUCAAGCAGUUUCACAAGAACAUCAUCGGGAAAGGAGGGGCCAACAUUAAGAAGGUGGCUGGCCGCACGCCUCCUAAGCCUGCCCCACCCCCAGCCCUGCCCCAGCACCUCAGCCAGGAGGCCGUUCCUCACCGCCCUCUGUCCUCGCAGAUUCGAGAAGAGAGCAACACCAAGAUCGACCUCCCCGCCGAGAACAGCAACUCAGAGACCAUUGUCAUCACAGGCAAGCGAGCCAACUGCGAGGCUGCCCGGAGCCGCAUUCUGUCCAUCCAGAAAGACCUGGCCAACAUCGCCGAGGUGGAGGUCGCCAUCCCUGCCCGGCUGCACAACGCCCUCAUCGGCACCAAGGGCCGGCUCAUCCGCUCCAUCAUGGAGGAGUGCGGCGGCGUCCACAUCCACUUCCCCGUGGAAGGCUCCGGGAGCGACACCGUGGUCAUCAGGGGCCCUUCCUCCGACGUGGAGAAGGCCCGCAAGCAGCUCCUGCACCUGGCGGAGGAGAAGCAAACCAAGAGCUUCACCGUCGACAUCCGAGCCAAGCCGGAAUACCACAAGUUCCUCAUCGGCAAAGGGGGCGGCAAAAUCCGCAAGGUGCGUGACAGCACCGGGGCCCGCAUCAUCUUCCCCGCCGCCGAGGACAAGGACCAGGACCUGAUCACCAUCAUAGGCAGGGAGGACGCCGUCCGGGAGGCCCAGCGGGAGCUGGAGGCCCUGAUCCAGAACCUGGACAACGUGGUUGAGGACUUCAUGCUGGUGGACCCCAGGCACCACCGUCACUUUGUCAUCCGACGAGGCCAGGUCCUGCGGGAGAUCGCGGAGGAGUACGGCGGGGUGAUGGUUAGCUUCCCCCGCUCCGGCACGCAGAGCGACAGAGUCACCCUGAAGGGGGCCAAGGACUGCGUGGAGGCGGCCAAGAAGCGCAUUCAGGAGAUCAUCGAGGACCUGGAAGCCCAGGUGACCAUAGAGUGCGCCAUUCCCCAGAAGUUCCAUCGCUCGGUCAUGGGCCCCAAAGGUUCCAGAAUCCAGCAGAUAACUCGCGACCAUAACGUUCAGAUUAAAUUCCCAGACAGAGAGGAGAACCCAGCGCACGGCACGGAGCCAGCUGUCCAGGAGAACGGCGACGACCCCGGGGAGGGGAGAGACGGGAAGGAGGCCGAGCCCGGCUCCCCCAGGAGAUGCGACAUCAUCACCAUCUCCGGCCGGAAGGAGAAGUGCGAGGCCGCCAAGGAGGCCCUUGAGGCCCUGGUUCCCGUCACCAUUGAGGUGGAGGUGCCCCUUGACCUUCACCGGUACAUCAUCGGCCAGAAGGGGAGCGGGAUCCGCAGGAUGAUGGACGAGUUUGAGGUGAAUAUUCACGUCCCGGCCCCCGAGCUGCAGUCAGGCGUCAUCGCCAUCACGGGCCUGGCUGCCAACCUGGACCGGGCCAAGGCUGGGCUGCUGGAGCGGGUGAAGGAGCUGCAGGCGGAGCAGGAAGACCGGGCUUUGCGGAGCUUCAAGCUGAGCGUCACCGUUGACCCCAAGUACCACCCCAAGAUCAUCGGGCGGAAGGGGGCGGUGAUCACCCAGAUCCGCCUGGAGCACGACGUCAACAUCCAGUUUCCUGAUAAGGACGAUGGGAGCCAGCCGCAGGACCACAUCACCAUCACGGGCUACGAGAAGAACACCGAGGCCGCCCGGGACGCCAUCCUCAAGAUCGUGGGGGAGCUCGAGCAGAUGGUUUCUGAGGACGUGCCGCUCGACCACCGCGUCCACGCCCGCAUCAUCGGUGCCCGCGGCAAAGCCAUCCGCAAGAUCAUGGAUGAGUUCAAGGUGGACAUUCGCUUCCCGCAGAGCGGGGCCCCCGACCCCAACUGCGUCACCGUGACGGGGCUGCCGGAGAACGUGGAGGAAGCCAUCGACCACAUCCUCAACCUGGAGGAGGAAUACCUGGCCGACGUGGUGGACACCGAGGCGCUGCAGCUGUACAUGAAGCCCCCGGCCCACGAGGAGGCCAAGGCGCCGUCCAGGGGCUUCGUGGUGCGGGACGCCCCCUGGACCGCCAGCAGCAGCGAGAAGGCUCCCGACAUGAGCAGCUCGGAGGAGUUCCCCAGCUUCGGGGCUCAGGUGGCCCCCAAGACCCUCCCCUGGGGCCCCAAGCGAUAAUGCUCGACAAGCAGAAACCUCUCCAGCCUGCUGACCUGAACCCGCCACACGAUGGUCCGUCUCAAUCCGACCCAGCGGCUGGACCCUCCGCAAAUUCUUGACGCCCCUUCCCCGAGGUCUCACAGCGAAGCCGGCGUGGCCCGCGCCCUGGCGGCCGGGUCUCAGGCCUGGCCGCCCCCGGCACAGGCUCUGCUCCCGACCUCUGUGCUGGGGCGGCGGCCGCACGAGCCCCGCGGAGGCCCGCGUCAUCCACCCGGCCUGCCCCGGCUCCGGCCUCCCCGGGAGAGCGCUGCAGCUGCGGCCGCGUCCACUUCCUGUGUCACGACCUCAGGAAAUAAAUGUCCUUGACUUUCUAAAAGCCAAAA